rnacentral:lncRNA from 1 species
CCAAACAUUUUAGAACAAUAGCUUGAAUUUGAGUCGCUACUGCUGCCAUCGAGUAAAACGCAUUCAAUAACAGUCCCCAACCUCCACAAUCUCAAAGGAGAACGAAAACAGAAUGCCAAGAUCUAGAGAGAAAAGCAACAAGUUACUGGAAACAUGAGUGUAUAAAUAGCUUAUUCAACUUACUGAAAUUCAGGUAUUCAGACAUCCACAGAUUCUUAGCAUUAAGGCAUGAAUGAAAGCUAUACAUAACUCGACUGAUUCGCAGCUAGUACACGAGUAGGCAUGAAAUUUUAGAAAAUACACGAGUUGUUCAAAUGCCAGUUCAUACACUUUCUAAUAUAGGGAGAAAAGAUUCAAACAACGGAACAAUGACCAGCUCGAACUCGAUUUUCAUGCUUGGGAUCACUGAAUUCAACACUGGACAACCAAGGCAUCACAUGAAACCAAUUCUGCCCGAACAAAGCAGAAUGGGGCAAGAUUGUCAUUAAAAUACACAAAAAUCUCAAUACGACCUCAAACAUUCAAACCAUGUUAAUAUCAAACUAGCCAACUGAACUCCAAUUCUUAACCUGACGAAUAAACAUCAAAACUAACUAGGAAUCGACAUCAAAAUUAAAGAGAGCAUAAGAAGAUGAACUUGAAAUCUAAUCUUUCUUUUGAUAAUAGAAUCGAAGGCGAUUACGCCGUUUGAACACCAAAAUUCCCACGAGAACACAAUGGCAAAUAAAAACUCAAAGAACAACAAACCAGUAGCAGUCGAGUAGAAAUAAGAGCUUCGAACAGUGACGAACUCAGCAAUUCUCAAACGAGCUCCAUUUUAAACGAACUCCAGCCAAGAAAGAAGAUACGAAAUAAUUUUUUGAUUUUUCCUUUUUCUGAACAGUAGUCGAAGAUGAAAAUCAGACUUAAAGAACAAUGAGCAUUUUUAUUGAAUAUGUAUUUUUCUCUGGUUCCCAAAAACCUAAAACAAGACUAGAAAACAAAGAAGAAGAAGAAUCCCUCUCUUUGUACUCACAACCCUCUUUACUAAAAUCUCUCCCCCAAAAUUGAAAAAAAAUCCUCCUCCCCUUUUAAUCAAUUUAGAGCACCCCCUUUAUAUCCAAACCUAGAAGGUUCCACCAGAAUUCAAAAAUAUUCCCCUCUAGAACAAAUUCGGACAGAUGAAGAGAGGGGAUUGAUUCAAAAUCAAUCCACGGUCCCCAUUUUUCCAAAUUCAUUCUCAAAGGCACAUGGGAGACGAAAAUCUGUCAGUGACCGUUAGAAUAUUCGGUGACGAGGAGAGAUGUAGAGUGCAUGUGGUGAAUUCAAAUUCACUCGCCUGAAUUUUGGCGAGUUCUUUAGCUCUGAAGGGGAGAAGAGAUUGAACAGUAAUGCGUUGAGUUAGGGAUUUGGUUUUGGAUUGGUGUAUGGAUUCGUCAGUGUAUUUUAUGGAGAUGGGCUGUGUUUAGGGGCUAUUUGGGCUGGAAAUAGUUUGGGCUUGGGAGAUUAGAAAUUAAAAGGCCCAAACUUUCAGCUUUCUACUUUUAAUUCAAUUCUUUUUUUCAGUUUUUCCCAAAAUCCUUCUUUCUUCUUUUUUUUUUUGAAAAUUAAAUUAACAUCUAAAUUAAUUCCUAAAACCUAAUUAACCUCUCAAAAAUAUUAAUUAAGCUCAAAUAGUAAUUGCCAUAAUACUAAUCGAAAGAAAACUACCAAAAAU